rnacentral:rRNA from 1 species
CCUACGGGUGGCUGCAGUGAGGAAUAUUGGUCAAUGGACGAGAGUCUGAACCAGCCAAGUAGCGUGAAGGAUGACUGCCCUAUGGGUUGUAAACUUCUUUUAUAUGGGAAUAAAGUGUUCCACGUGUGGGAUUUUGUAUGUACCAUAUGAAUAAGGAUCGGCUAACUCCGUGCCAGCAGCCGCGGUAAUACGGAGGAACCGAGCGUUAUCCGGAUUUAUUGGGUUUAAAGGGAGCGUAGGUGGAUUGUUAAGUCAGUUGUGAAAGUUUGCGGCUCAACCGUAAAAUUGCAGUUGAAACUGGCAGUCUUGAGUACAGUAGAGGUGGGCGGAAUUCGUGGUGUAGCGGUGAAAUGCUUAGAUAUCACGAAGAACUCCGAUUGCGAAGGCAGUUCACUGGACUGCAACUGACACUGAGGCUCGAAAGUGUGGGUAUCAAACAGGAUUAGAUACCCUUGUAGUC